rnacentral:lncRNA from 1 species
GUAAUAAUUUCACUGAUGAACAUCUGAAAUCCAACAUGGAAACCCAUGUUCAAAAACGGUGAAGUGAAGAAUCCAAGGAAGUUGAGGAAGCCUGGCUGAGAAGACUGUGCACAAGUCAACCAUAGGGCGGUAACGACAAGAAGAAUCCUGGGAUAAAAGCUGCUGUUAAUGAACACAGCAGUUCGAUCAUUUAAAAUAUGCAAACUUCACUUUUCCUGUCUGUUACCAUAAACCAGAGAAUGGCCAAGAGCCAAACAUCAGAAAUGAAAUAAGGACCCCAGCCACACAACUCCAAGGAACUAAAUAUAACUGCAAACCCAACAAGGUUGGAGAAGACCCUGACCUCAAAAUGAGGAAGGCCUAUGUUUUGGAAACUUAGACCAGGAGACCACAGAAGCAACAAAUGUCUCUACUUGUGAAUCAAGUUGGCCGGAGUCUUCCCAUGGAUGAAGAUUCGACUAGCCUUUUUAUGCAUUGCAUACCAGAACAGUAUUCAACCGUGAAGAUAGAAGUGGAAGCUGACAGAAGGAAGAGCAAAUCUGCCUGGCACCUUUUCUCUGAGGAACUGAUAUGAUCUCACACAGAAAGAGUUCCCUUGGCAUACACAUAGCCAGUGGGUAGCCAUGAUAACUGGGGCCUUCAUGGUUGAAUGUGCCUCAAGUUGGAGUUUGU